rfam:Desulfotomaculum ferrireducens strain GSS09, complete genome.
UAAGCCCCACCAGGGUAAUGCCUAACCAGCAGCCCUGUAGCUAGUUCUUGGACACGUUUAGGCAACUGAAAGUUUUAAGCGUAGAUCGGCAAAAUAGCGGGCCGAAAGCGAAAGCUGAAGUGAUUGAGCAUCGAAAACGCCUUGUAAUAACUGCUUGGAGGCGGUGAUAC